UACGUAGGUGGCAAGCGUUGUCCGGAUUUAUUGGGUUUAAAGGGUGUGUAGGCGGUUGCUUAAGUUUGGUGUGAAAUCUCCCGGCUCAACUGGGAGGGUGCGCCGAAUACUGAGUGACUCGAGUGCGGGAGAGGAGAGUGGAAUUCCUGGUGUAGCGGUGAAAUGCGUAGAUAUCAGGAGGAACACCGGUGGUGUAGACGGCUCUCUGGACCGUAACUGACGCUGAGACACGAAAGCGUGGGUAGCAAACAGG
rnacentral:rRNA from 1 species